rnacentral:rRNA from 1 species
AAUUCGAUGCAACGCGAAAAACCUUACCUACCCUUGACAUGUCUGGAAUCCUGAAGAGAUUUGGGAGUGCUCGAAAGAGAGCCAGAACACAGGUGCUGCAUGGCCGUCGUCAGCUCGUGUCGUGAGAUGUUGGGUUAAGUCCCGCAACGAGCGCAACCCUUGUCAUUAGUUGCUACGAAAGGGCACUCUAAUGAGACUGCCGGUGACAAACCGGAGGAAGGUGGGGAUGACGUCAGGUCAUCAUGGCCCUUAUGGGUAGGGCUACACACGUCAUACAAUGGCCGGGACAGAGGGCUGCCAACCCGCGAGGGGGAGCUAAUCCCAGAAACCCGGUCGUAGUCCGGAUCGUAGUCUGCAACUCGACUGCGUGAAGUCGGAAUCGCUAGUAAUCGCGGAUCAGCUUGCCGCGGUGAAUACGUUCCCGGGUCUUGUACACACCGCCCGUCACACCAUGGGAGCGGGUUCUGCCAGAAGUAGUUAGCCUAACCGCUAAGGGGGG